AUUGAACGCUGGCGGCAUGCCUUACACAUGCAAGUCGAACGGCAGCACGGGAGCAAUCCUGGUGGCGAGUGGCGAACGGGUGAGUAAUGUAUCGGAACGUGCCCAGUCGUGGGGGAUAACGUAGCGAAAGCUACGCUAAUACCGCAUACGAACUAUGGAUGAAAGCGGGGGAUCGCAAGACCUCGCGCGAUUGGAGCGGCCGAUAUCAGAUUAGGUAGUUGGCGGGGUAAAGGCUCACCAAGCCGACGAUCUGUAGCUGGUCUGAGAGGACGACCAGCCACACUGGGACUGAGACACGGCCCAGACUCCUACGGGAGGCAGCAGUGGGGAAUUUUGGACAAUGGGCGCAAGCCUGAUCCAGCAAUGCCGCGUGCAGGAUGAAGGCCUUCGGGUUGUAAACUGCUUUUGUACGGAACGAAACGGCGAGCUCUAAUACAGUUUGCUAAUGACGGUACCGUAAGAAUAAGCACCGGCUAACUACGUGCCAGCAGCCGCCGCGG
rnacentral:rRNA from 1 species